AUAUGAAUGAGACAAGUAGUGGUUUUUGAAGUCUCUUCCUUGUGUGUGAUUUUUCUGCCUAAAAUUAAUUGCAGAGCUGAUUUGGUAUGUGGGUGUUUUCAGUUGUAGUAUUCAACCCAACUACAACCUAACAAAGUGGUAGUGGAGCUGAGGUUUAAAAGGGCGAAGUUUUGUCCAAGUUCAAAGAGCGAAGAAGAUGUCGAAAGAAGGUAGUGCAAAUUGUAGUUCAAGGGAGAAAUUAUGAGUUUUGGAGCAUCAAGAUGAAGACUUUACUCACCUCUCUUGACUUAUGAGAUAUGGUGGAGAUAACAUUUGAAGAACCUGAAAAUGUGGACAGUCUAUCUACAGCAAAACUCAAAGAUCUGAAAGCAAAAGAAGAGUAGAGAUGCUGAAGCCCUUAGCAUGAUUCAAAGAGAAGUUGUUGAUCCUAUAUUUCCAAGGAUCAUGAGAGCUACAAAUGCAAUGCAAUCAUGCAAGACUUCGCAAAAAGAAUAUGAAGGUGACAUAAAGAAGAAAUAAAAGAUUAGUCGAUGGCUUCUCUAAAGUCUUGCGAGAAGAGGCUAGUGAAGAGCCAGUAGAUAGUGCUUUUCAGUCAAAGCUCAUUUUUGGGAAACAAAGCCACGAAAAGGAAUAUACAAGUGAUGAGAGAAGAGGAGUUACAAGUGGAGGAUAUAGUAGAGGAAGAGGCAGAAAUCAAAGGGGAGGAGAAAGAAGUGAUUAUGAUAGAAUUGAGAAGCUACAACCGUCACAGCAACAUAUUAGAGAAAAUGUCUCGUGUCUUUCAAUUAAUACUAAGCCACCAGACGUCUCUCUUCUUCAAACGUCACAACUACGUUUUGCACUUGAAAAAAGCUUGAAACUGAAUCCUAUAGACCUUACAAGGUCUUGCAAAGAGAGGGGGCAGUGGCCUAUAUGCUUCAACUACCUGAAAGAGCCUCUAUCCUGCUUGUAUUUCCACGGGCAGUGUAAAAACAUGCAUUAACACACGGGUGUGUAUCACUGCUUAAAGGGAAGGUAGGGAGCAAUGUUGUAACAGCCUCGAUAAUGCCAUUAACAGAUGAAGGUGAAGGUGGAAGAGUCGAGCUGUUCUGGAAAUGAAGUUUAUGAAAAAGGGGAAGCAAGAAAUCUACUGCACUUGAUGCCUACAAGGGCUAAACUAAACUAAACAUUGAUCAUCAAAUCUCUAUUACUAUGUUCUGGAAGUCGUUUAAAUUUCCAAAUAUGAUGACAGUUUAUGCCUCU